rnacentral:rRNA from 1 species
GACCUGGUCGGGCGGUCUGCCUCACGGUACGUACUGUCCGACCGGGCCUUACCUCUUGGUGAGCCGGCAUGCCCUUUACUGGGUGUGUCGGGGAACCAGGACUUUUACCUUGAGAAAAUUAGAGUGUUCAAAGCAGGCCUAUGCCCGAAUACAUUAGCAUGGAAUAAUAGAAUAGGACGU